GAUGAACGCUGGCGGCGUGCCUAAUACAUGCCAGUCGAGCGAACAGACGAGGAGCUUGCUCCUCUGACGUUAGCGGCGGACGGGUGAGUAACACGUGGAUAACCUACCUAUAAGACUGGGAUAACUUCGGGAAACCGGAGCUAAUACCGGAUAAUAUAUUGAACCGCAUGGUUCAAUAGUGAAAGACGGUUUUGCUGUCACUUAUAGAUGGAUCCGCGCCGCAUUAGCUAGUUGGUAAGGUAACGGCUUACCAAGGCAACGAUGCGUAGCCGACCUGAGAGGGUGAUCGGCCACACUGGAACUGAGACACGGUCCAGACUCCUACGGGAGGCAGCAGUAGGGAAUCUUCCGCAAUGGGCGAAAGCCUGACGGAGCAACGCCGCGUGAGUGAUGAAGGUCUUCGGAUCGUAAAACCCUGUUAUUAGGGAAGAACAAAUGUGUAAGUAACUAUGCACGUCUUGACGGUACCUAAUCAGAAAGCCACGGCUAACUACGUG
rnacentral:rRNA from 1 species